GCGGGCAUCGUAUAAUGGCUAUUACCUCAGCCUUCCAAGCUGAAGUUGCGGGUUCGAUCCCCGCUGCCCGCU
rnacentral:tRNA from 1 species